AUUGAACGCUGGCGGCAGGCCUAACACAUGCAAGUCGAACGAGUGGCGGACGGGUGAGUAAUGUCUGGGAAACUGCCCGAUGGAGGGGGAUAACUACUGGAAACGGUAGCUAAUACCGCAUACCAUCGGAUGUGCCCAGAUGGGAUUAGCUUGUAGGUGGGGUAACGGCCCACCUAGGCGACGAUCCCUGGCUGGUCUGAGAGAAUGACCAGCACAAGUGGAAGUUAGAGACGGUCCAGACUCCUGGGGCAGGCUGCAUGGGGGAAUAUUGCACACUGGGCGCAAGCCUGAUGCAGCCAUGACGCGGGUAUGAGGAAGGCCUUCGGGUUGUAAAGUACUUUCAGCGGGGAGGCGUUGCCCGAAGAAGAGGCACCGGCUAACUCCGUGCCAGCGGACGCGGUAAUAC
rnacentral:rRNA from 1 species